CCCUUAGAUGUUCUGGGCCGCACGCGCGCUACACUGAUGCAUUCAACGAGUCUAAAACCUGGUCUGAGAGGGCUGGGUAAUCUUUUGAAAGUGCAUCGUGAUUGGGAUAGAUGAUUGCAAUUCUUCAUCUUCAACGAGGAAUGCCUAGUAAACGCAAGUCAUCAGCUUGCAUUGAUUACGUCCCCGCCCUUUGUACACACCGCCCGUCGCUCCUACCGAUUGAACGAUCCGAUGAAAACUGUGGAUUGAGAGUCUGAGUGGGUUCGCCUACCUCAACUUUCGAGAAGCGGUUUAAAUCUUAUCGUUUAGAGGAAGGAGAAGUCGUAACA
rnacentral:rRNA from 1 species